rnacentral:rRNA from 1 species
UGGGGAAUUUUGGACAAUGGGGGAAACCCUGAUCCACCCAUCCCGCGUGUGCGAUGAAGGCCUUCGGGUUGUAAAGCACUUUUGGCAGGAAAGAAACGUCAUGGGUUAAUACCCCGUGAAACUGACGGUACCUGCAGAAUAAGCACCGGCUAACUACGUGCCAGCAGCCGCGGUAAUACGUAGGGUGCAAGCGUUAAUCGGAAUUACUGGGCGUAAAGCGUGCGCAGGCGGUUCGGAAAGAAAGAUGUGAAAUCCCAGAGCUCAACUUUGGAACUGCAUUUUUAACUACCGGGCUAGAGUGUGUCAGAGGGAGGUGGAAUUCCGCGUGUAGCAGUGAAAUGCGUAGAUAUGCGGAGGAAAACCGAUGGCGAAGGCAGCCUCCUGGGAUAACACUGACGAUCAUGCACGAAAGCGUGGGGAGCAAACAGG